rnacentral:lncRNA from 1 species
CCUCUCAGAAGCUAUGAGGACUAAGUGACACCUUUGAACAUGCAGGUCAUGCUUGGAUCAGAACGCCGGCUCCUGCACACAGCUGCGAGCGGCUGAGUUUACUUCGAGAAGUUGGUCACUGAAUUUUCGAAAUCAUGGCCUAAGCGAAAGCUUCCACGCAUCAUGGCUGCAAUGUGUUUCCCGGAAAGCGAAGUGCGAGUCCGGAAUUCCUCGUUUUGCGGAGACGAUCAACGCUACACGGUGGCAUCGAGAGUCGGCGAGGAAAAGGCAGACUACCUUCCUCUUCAAACCGAGUAUGUCCUAAACCGGAAUUCCGUGCCAACGCAAAAAAAAAAGAAAGCGCUGGUACUCAAGCCUACACUUUCGUAUACAUGAAUGGGCCCACUACCGCUACGGUGUAUUCGACGAGUACGGUACACGGGGAGAUGAUUCAAUUUCCGGAGACCUACUCUUGGAGGGGCAUGGUGAAACUGAACCCUUGUUCAAAACCCUGGUUUUCACCGCUUUAUGAAAAGACAAUACAGUACGCGAU